AAAUAAAGGCGAACUGGAAACAGAGGGCAGUGAUAGAGGACAAAGAGGCAAAGAAAGAAAACAAAAGAGGAAAGAAGUGAAAAGAGCCAGCAGUGAUGAAUGCAGCUCGAAUUCAUGACAAACAGAAGCUGAAGUCAUUCUGGGAGCAGAGGAUUGUUCAGCACAGCGAGCAGACGAAUGGGGAGGAGAACCGUAUGAAGAACAGCGCUUUGGCACGACUGAGGGAGCAGUGGGUCAUCAGGUUGGAGCAGAGGAAUCAACACCUGCAGAGUUUCUUCGAGGAGAGAAUGAGACAAGCGCAGAAAUCCCAGCAAAUCCUCGGAAAGACCGAUUCACCCUGAAACCAGCAGAUAAGCCAGAAGGUGGUUAAAGAAAGAACAGCUGCUGUCCAGAUAUUGUUUAUGGUGCUAAAAAAUAAAUGUGUAAAGGUCAGACCUUUACACAUUUAUUGUCAUUGAUUUUUAUGAAACAGAGGAACUAAAACAAACAAAAAACAAAACUAUAUUCAAUAUAAAUUAAAUCCACUAAAACUCCAUGAACACUGUUAUACUUUAUUGCUGCCUGGUGCCACUGCUUAGCCAGUGUCAUGUAAAUAUGUUGAGGAUACCAUGCGUUCUUAAAUAAGUAAAUGUGAUGUCUAUAUUUGCAGUAAUAAAAUCAAAAGAUUAAAAAUGCUUCAUGUGUUGGCUG
ensembl:lncRNA